CCAGCCCGCAGUUGCGCGCAUGCUCCAUUCCCAUAGAGCAUGCUGGAGCUCCUUGUCAUGGCUCUCAGGCGACGACGCAUCCUCGUGGCAGUUGUAUGUGAGGUGCUGGAAGACCACGUGGCCCAGGGCUCCAGGCCAGAUCGUCCAGUCUCUGACACCUAGUUUGGUGAAGAACUUUUGGCCCUCGGGGGGUAGCAUUUUGAAAACUCCAGAGUUCGAAAAGAACACUGGGCGCUUUGGCUGGCUGUCCAGAAUCCCGCACAUGAGGGACAGAGACCCGGCUUCGGGGGCAUAUGCAGAGGUUCGGAUGAGGUAGCCAACUGGAGUUUCUGGGAUGAAGUCUGUG
rnacentral:rRNA from 13 species